UGCCCAGCCUUUCCAUGAGAGAGAGUAC
rnacentral:piRNA from 1 species